rnacentral:pre_miRNA from 1 species
AUGGUAUUCCCUCCGAUCCAUAUUAAUUGUCUCAAAAUUUGUCUAAAUAUGGAUGUAUCUAUGCAUAAAAUGCAUCUAGAUACAUGUAAUAUUUCGACAAUUAAUGUGGAUCGGAUGGAGUACCUU